rnacentral:tRNA from 1 species
GCCAGGAUAGCUCAGUAGGUAGAGUAAUGGUCUGAAAAACCAUGGGCCACCAGUUCAAUCCUGGUUCCUGGCA